rnacentral:tRNA from 1 species
GGAUUGUGGCUCAGUGGUAGAGCGCUCACCUAGCAUGUGCAAGGCUCUGGAUUCGAUCCUCAGCACCA